AUGAGCUGGAGAUGGGGGCACAAAAGGACACUAAGCCACCCCAGAUUGUUACGGCACAGUGGUGCCACUGCGUGGGCAUCAACACGAGGAGUUGAUGCAACUUCAACACAGGGCGGCAGCGGCAUGAUGACUUCAACACGAGUCCUGGUGAGAAGAACGCGGGAGCUAGGAUAUAGAGCCAGAUGUUGUGCAACUAAACUUUCAAUUGUGUCGGUUGAUUCUUGUGAAAGCGGCACAAAGCCUCAUAACAGAAGACGAUGGUGUCGUGGUGAGCACCAGCGAGAUGCGGGGACGCCGGCAAGGUAUCGGCCAGGAGUGACCUGGAGCCGGCGAUGA
rnacentral:rRNA from 1 species